GAAAUUAGGGCCUGAUCCAAAGCCCACUAAAGUCAAUGGGAGUCUUUCAAAUGACUUGGAUGGGCUUUGAAUCGGGCUUUGAAUC
rnacentral:pre_miRNA from 1 species